UGCAAGUCGACGGAAGGCCCCAGCUUGCUGGGGUACUCGAGUGGCGAACGGGUGAGUAACACGUGGGUGAUCUGCCCUGCACUUUGGGAUAAGCUUGGGAAACUGGGUCUAAUACCGAAUAUGACCACUUCUUGGAUGUUGUGGUGGAAAGCUUUUGCGGUGUGGGAUGAGCCUGCGGCCUAUCAGCUUGUUGGUGGGGUAAUGGCCUACCAAGGCGGCGACGGGUAUCCGGCCUGAGAGGGUGUACGGACACAUUGGGACUGAGAUACGGCCCAGACUCCUACGGGAGGCAGCAGUGGGGAAUAUUGCACAAUGGGCGCAAGCCUGAUGCAGCGACGCCGCGUGGGGGAUGAAGGCCUUCGGGUUGUAAACUCCUUUCGCUAUCGACGAAGCCACUUGUGGUGACGGUAGGUAGAUAAGAAGCACCGGCUAACUACGUGCCAGCAGCCGCGGUAAUACGUAGGGUGCAAGCGUUGUCCGGAAUUACUGGGCGUAAAGAGCUCGUAGGUGGUUUGUCGCGUCGUCUGUGAAAUCCCGGGGCUUAACUUCGGGCGUGCAGGCGAUACGGGCAUAACUUGAGUGCUGUAGGGGAGACUGGAAUUCCUGGUGUAGCGGUGAAAUGCGCAGAUAUCAGGAGGAACACCGAUGGCGAAGGCAGGUCUCUGGGCAGUAACUGACGCUGAGGAGCGAAAGCAUGGGUAGCGAACAGGAUUAGAUACCCUGGUAGUCCAUGCCGUAAACGGUGGGCGCUAGGUGUAGGGGGCUUCCACGUCUUCUGUGCCGUAGCUAACGCAUUAAGCGCCCCGCCUGGGGAGUACGGCCGCAAGGCUAAAACUCAAAGGAAUUGACGGGGGCCCGCACAAGCGGCGGAGCAUGUGGAUUAAUUCGAUGCAACGCGAAGAACCUUACCUGGGCUUGACAUGUACCGGAUCGGGCUAGAGAUAGUCUUUCCCUUGUGGUCGGGAUACAGGUGGU
rnacentral:rRNA from 1 species